rnacentral:tRNA from 1 species
GUUACUUUGGCAGAAUAGUGCAAUGGAUUUAGAAUCUUUAAAUGUAUAUAAAUAGGUAAUA